CGUGCAUUCAGGGGGGUUCCCUCAGUCCAGAUUGCAAGAGGGCGCAGGCCAGGCCGAGGGACCCCACUGGUGCAUG
rnacentral:pre_miRNA from 1 species